AACGAACGCUGGCGGCAUGCCUAACACAUGCAAGUCGAACGAGACCUUCGGGUCUAGUGGCGCACGGGUGCGUAGCGCGUGGGAACCUGCCCUUAGGUUCGGAAUAACUCCCCGAAAGGGGUGCCAAUACCGGAUAAUGUCUUCGGACCAAAGAUUUAUCGCCUUUGGAUGGGCCCGCGUUGGAUUAGCUAGUUGGUAGGGUAAAAGCCUACCAAGGCGACGAUCCAUAGCUGGUCUGAGAGGAUGAUCAGCCACACUGGGACUGAGACACGGCCCAGACUCCUACGGGAGGCAGCAGUGGGGAAUAUUGGACAAUGGGCGAAAGCCUGAUCCAGCAAUGCCGCGUGAGUGAUGAAGGCCUUAGGGUUGUAAAGCUCUUUUACCCGGGAUGAUAAUGACAGUACCGGGAGAAUAAGCUCCGGCUAACUCCGUG
rnacentral:rRNA from 1 species